UUGGAGGGCAAGUCUGGUGCCAGCAGCCGCGGUAAUUCCAGCUUCAAUAGCGUAUAUUAAAGUUGUUGCAGUUAAAAAGCUCGUAGUUGAAUUUCGAGACCGGUUUAUUGGUCGUGCUUUUGUACGUACUGGUAUUAUUGGUUUCUCCUUUCUGACGAAUCUUAAUGCCAUUAAUUUGGUGUUUUGGGGAAUCAGGACUGUUACUUUGAAAAAAUUAGAGUGUUUAAAGCAGGCUCACGCUUGAAUACAUUAGCAUGGAAUAACGGAAUAGGACGUUUGAUUCUAUUUUGUUGGUUUCUAGGAUCGACGUAAUGAUUAAUAGGGAUAGUUGGGGGCAUUAGUAUUCAAUUGUCAGAGGUGAAAUUCUUGGAUUUAUUGAAGACUAACUACUGCGAAAGCAUUUGCCAAGGAUGUUUUCAUUAAUCAAGAACGAAAGUUAGGGGAUCGAAGACGAUCAGAUACCGUCGUAGUCUUAACCAUAAACUAUGCCGACUAGGGAUCGGAUGAUGUUAAUUUUUUAAUGACUCAUUCGGCGCCUUACGGGAAAC
rnacentral:rRNA from 1 species